rnacentral:lncRNA from 1 species
AUACUAUUUGUUGGGAAGGUUUCUAAUGAUAAUUUUCCUAAACAUCUAUUUAUCUCCUUGUUUUGUGGGUGUGGUAUCUCAAAUGCAACUGCAGACGACGGAAAAAACACGAGGCAGUUCUGUUCUUUGAAGAAACUCUUCACUGAAGAGAAAAGCUACAUUAAAGCUAAUGGUCACUACGGCUCAUACCGCUUCAUCAACACAUGCGUCCUUGAUGCACUUCUCGUUGCUCUUCAUGUCUGUCACACCAAAUAUAAACACAUUCAGGAACUCUUCCAAUCUGACCGGACGAUGUAUCCAGUCAUGGCUUUUUUAGAUCAACACAGGUACAAUGAAGCCAAAGCUCUGUGGCUGAUGAAGUUAAAUCUUUUUUCUGAUGAUUGCAAUUUCAAAAUGUCUGGUACAGUCAACGUUUGGAGUACAGUCAAAGACCACCUGCCAAUGUUUUACGACAUGAAAUCUUCCCGAGACCAUUUUUCUGAAACUGGAGCCAAUCAUGGAGCUGCUGAUCGUCUACAUAAAAGCAUCCUUGGGUAAAUAUAUUUGAAAAAAAAAGGUUGUUCUGUUUCAGCCUCUCUGUAACCUUAAACAACUGUGUGAAUGUGUGACUUAACCCUUUGGUUUGUCAUGAUCUAUAAACAUAUCAAUACUGUAUGUAUUAUCUGUAUUGAUUUUUAGGGAGUUCCAGCGCUUUAAGGAAGUGAUAUCUUUGGGCAGUUACGGAGACCCCUGCUUAAUACUGAUUAACAGUGAUGCUGGUAUGGACAGAGCCCCUCCCCUGAAAGUCAAGGACAAGUAUGACAGGUAGGUACUGUAAAAUACUGAAAAUAAUGCAGGG